CCUACGGGGUGCUGCAGUGGGGAAUAUUGGACAAUGGGCGAAAGCCUGAUCCAGCCAUGCCGCGUGUGUGAAGAAUGCCUUCGGGUUGUAAAGCACUUUCAGUGGGGAAGAAAGCCUUGGGGCUAAUACCCUCGAGGAAGGACAUCACCCACAGAAGAAGCACCGGCUAACUCCGUGCCAGCAGCCGCGGUAAUACGGAGGGUGCGAGCGUUAAUCGGAAUUACUGGGCGUAAAGCGCGCGUAGGCGGUCUGAUAAGCCGGUUGUGAAAGCCCCGGGCUCAACCUGGGAACGGCAUCCGGAACUGUCAGGCUAGAGUGCAGGAGAGGAAGGUAGAAUUCCCGGUGUAGCGGUGAAAUGCGUAGAGAUCGGGAGGAAUACCAGUGGCGAAGGCGGCCUUCUGGACUGACACUGACGCUGAGGUGCGAAAGCGUGGGUAGCAAACAGGAUUAGAUACCCGAGUAGUC
rnacentral:rRNA from 1 species